AAGAAACCAUCCUGGAUUUGUAAGAAUAUUCCCUGCCUCUCACCUCAUGCCUUCUUCUUCUUCUUUUUUUUCUUUUUCUUGAGAUGGAGUCUCACUUUGUCACCCAGGCUGGAGUGCAGUGGCGAUCAAUCUUGGCUCACUGUAGCCUCCACCUCCCAGGCUCAAGCAAUCAUCCCACCUCAGCCUCCUGAGUAGCUGGGACCACAGGCGCGCACCACCACACCUGGCUAAUGUUUUGCACUUUUGGUAGAGACAGUAUUUCCUCAUGUUGCCCAGACUGGUCUGGAACUCCUGGCCUAUAGUGAUCUGCCUUCCUUGGCUUCCCAAAGUGCUGGGAUUACAGGCAUGAGUCACCAUGUCCGGCCACACUUCUUGUCUUCUGUUUAAUGCUGAAUGUUAUAGCAAAGGCUAAGAAAAUGUAUUUCAUGGCCCUUGGUUCAAAAUUUCAGGAAGCUCAGAUCCUAAGAUAGCAGAGAGGAAGGAGACCUGAAACAUUUUCAAAAGUCAAAUAACUAUCAUACUCAGUCUAUUCAAAUGAGUAAUCAAAUUUCCCUAUCAAAACAAGGCUAAGGGUUUUUUUCCUCCCUGUACGGAAAUAGGUUUUCAAAGGUAACAGAAAAGUUUGCAGAGUUAUGUUUAAGUGUUUGUGUCUGCAAUCACAGUUUUUCUUUUUUGUUUUUGGAGACAGGGUCUCACUCUGUUGACCAGGGUGAGGAGUGUAGUGGCAUGAUCAUAGUUCACUGCAACCUCUGCCUCCCUCCCAGACUCAAGCAAUCCUCUGGCCUCAGCCUCACCAAGUAGCUAGGACUACAGAUUCAUGACUUCAAUUGAGAGAUGAGUUUCAAGCCACCUUUCAAGGAAUCCUGGGUAGAAUGAAAUCUGUUCCAUGGAAUCUUAAGAAGAAGAAGAAAAAAAAUCAAGAUCCCUGUGGGCAAAGUCAUUUGCUGUCAUGCUUGGAAGGAGUAGAACCAAGUGUUUAUGAGCAUGGACUUUGGAGUCAGGAUACUCUCCUGAUAUACCACGAUGCAGAAUGUCAAGUAGGAAAAGAAGCUGUUGCAUUGGGCAAUUAAGAAGUCAUUGGUGAGAGAAGUUUCAGUCUGAAGUGGAAUCAUAGUAAAUUACAGAAAAAUAGUCUUUGGAGAGAGAAGGAAUCUGGUUAAUCCACAGGCCACACAAUCAUGGUUGAAAAUUAGUGAAUGAGCGAAUGAUGGAUCCAUCUCUUGAAGCAAUACUUGAAUCGCAGAAUUCUUAUAUUGAUAGAAGCAGAAGGAAACCAGAAGUGCUCCAAUUAAAGGCCUCCAUUUUUCAGAUCAGCAGACUAUGAGCCAUGCAUAGGAUCACACACAGCUCUUUUAAAAAUUAUGAGCCACUCAGCCUCGGCCUCCGGAGGUGCCGGGAUUGCAGACGGUGUCUGGUUCACUCAGUGCUCAAUGGUGCCCAGGCUGGAGUGCAGUGGCGUGAUCUCGGCUCGCUACAACCUCCACCUCCCAGCCGCCUGCCUUGGCCUCCCAAAGUGCCCAGAGUGCAGCCUCUGCCCGGCCGCCACCCCGUCUGGGAAGUGAGGGGCGUCUCUGCCUGGCCGCCCAUCGCUAAUCUCAAGUACCCAGGGACACAAACACUGUGGAAGGCCGCAGGAUCCUCUGCCUAGGAAAACCAGAGACCUUUGUUCACUUGUUUAUC
rnacentral:lncRNA from 1 species